rnacentral:rRNA from 1 species
AGCCGCCGCGGGAAAACAGAGGGUGCAAGCGUUAAUCGGAAUUACUGGGCGUAAAGCGCGCGUAGGUGGUUUGUUAAGUUGGAUGUGAAAUCCCCGGGCUCAACCUUGGAACUGCCUUUGAUACUGGUUGUCUUGAGUCCGGGAGAGGUGAGUGGAACUGCGAGUGUAGAGGUGAAAUUCGUAGAGAUCUGGAGGAAUACCGAUGGCGAAGGCAGCCAUCUGGCCUAAUACUGACGCCGAGGUACGAAAGCAUGGGGAGCAAACAGGAUUAGAUACCCGUGUAGUCCCUGUCUCUUAUACA